rnacentral:rRNA from 1 species
AUUGAACGCUGGCGGCAUGCCUUACACAUGCAAGUCGAGCGGCAGCGCGGUCUUUGGACUGGCGGCGAGCGGCGAACGGGUGAGUAAUACAUCGGAACAUGCCCAGUCGUGGGGGAUAACACUUCGAAAGAAGUGCUAAUACCGCAUACGUCCUGAGGGAGAAAGCAGGGGAUCGUAAGACCUCGCGCGAUUGGAGUGGCCGAUGUCAGAUUAGCUAGUUGGUGGGGUAAAGGCCUACCAAGGCAACGAUCUGUAGCUGGUCUGAGAGGAUGAGCAGCCACACUGGGACUGAGACACGGCCCAGACUCCUACGGGAGGCAGCAGUGGGGAAUAUUGGACAAUGGGCGGAAGCCUGAUCCAGCCAUGCCGCGUGUGUGAAGAAGGCCUUUUGGUUGUAAAGCACUUUAAGCGAGGAGGAGGCUACUAGUACUAAUACUACUGGAUAGUGGACGUUACUCGCAGAAUAAGCACCGGCUAACUCUGUGCCAGCCGCCGCAGUAAUAC